AUGAACGCUGGCGGCGUGCUUCACCCAUGCCAGUCGAACGGAAAGGCCCAAGCUUGCUUGGGUACUCGAGUGGCGAACGGGUGAGUAACACGUGGGUGAUCUGCCCUGCACUUCGGGAUAAGCCUGGGAAACUGGGUCUAAUACCGGAUAGGACGAUGGUUUGGAUGCCAUUGUGGAAAGUUUUUUCGGUGUGGGAUGAGCUCGCGGCCUAUCAGCUUGUUGGUGGGGUAAUGGCCUACCAAGGCGUCGACGGGUAGCCGGCCUGAGAGGGGGGACGGCCACAUUGGGACUGAGAUACGGCCCAGACUCCUACGGGAGGCAGCAGGGGGGAAUAUUGCACAAUGGGCGCAAGCCUGAUGCAGCGACGCCGCGUGGGGGAUGACGGCCUUCGGGUUGUAAACUCCUUUCGCUAGGGACGAAGCGUUUUUGUGACGGUACCUGGAGAAGAAGCACCGGCUAACUACGUG
rnacentral:rRNA from 1 species